rfam:Salmo salar isolate Sally breed double haploid chromosome ssa26, whole genome shotgun sequence.
UGCAUUCACUACUGUAAGUCGCUCUGGAUAAAAGCAUCUGCUAAAUGAUUAAGU